CAACAUUUAGAAACCUCUUGCUGUUUCCAAUCUUUCUACUAAUCUGAAGUCAUUGCAACAAUUUACAUGGACUUUCAAUAUUCAAUACUGAGAUAGUAGUAUCAUAGAUAAAGAAAUUACAAGGUAUUAUCAUACAAGUAUCUUGUCCAGCAAUCCUUUACUGAUUUCUCUUUCUGAGCCUGUUCGGAUCAAGGAACUCUGCCAAACUAGGUUAACCUUAGACUCUUUUGUCAGUUCGAACUCAUUAGCCCA
rnacentral:lncRNA from 1 species